CCCGAGAUGGCGUAAUGGCAGACGCAGCGGGCCCAGACCCCGUGGCCCCUUCAGGCCGUGGGAGUUCGACUCUCCCUCUCGGGACCA
rnacentral:tRNA from 1 species